AGUCGCGUAGCUCAGUGGUAGAGCACUUCCUUGACAUGGAAGUGGUCGGUGGUUCGCUCCCACUCGCGACUACCA
rnacentral:tRNA from 1 species